rnacentral:lncRNA from 12 species
AUCAUUAAGGUUGUAUGAAUAUUAGAAUUAAUGCUCCUGUUUUAUUUCAAAUCCUUAGUACAAUGUGGAAUAAUUAAAAAUUCAAGUAUAUAGUAAGCGAUUUUACAAGAAGCCCACAGUAUUAACUCUGUCCUUUUGCCCUUCCUCCUCUCAUUACUAUUUCUCUUCUUUGUCUGAAUAUAUUUUCAGGGUGGGAUCAAGUUCUGGAUCUAUAAAAUAGAGGUCAUGUUUUUCCCAAAAGAGAACUGUGAAACUAUGACUAACCACAAGCAUCACUUCCAGCUGGUUCAAUGCCACAAUUUUGUCUACUCACUAAUUUCCACUUUUUUUUUUUUUUUUUCAUUUAGCCAGGAAAUUCAGGAAGAUCCUACAUGUAAAUGCAAAAGCACUUCUUAGAAAAUGGCUCAGUAUUACAUAAAAACAAGGCAUGAUCUUUAAAGUAUGUUCUCUAAAGAUGUGGUUAUGGAUUUCUGGCAGUCCUGACAUCCGUGUCACCACAGCUUCCAAUCCGGACAUGUAAUAAGAGUAAGAGGUGACACAUGAUCCCUAGGCGGUUUGUAUGGUACCUUUGUGGAUAUUGAAUAGGUAGUGGGAUAGGGAAGGGUGAUAGGUUGGCAUCAAGUGCUUACAAGAUGGGCAUUUCUAGUCUAAGGUCAGGCUGAAAGUCAUCAGAAACACCAUUUAAUUAUUAAUUUCUGCAAAGUGAAAGAAACUGAUGGGCCAUACUGACAUGAGUCAAAUUAUAGAUAGGGUGACUAAUUUGAGGAGAAUCAACAUAAGUCCAAGAAGGGAAAGGAGUUUAGCAGUGAACAAAAAUCGAAUCGGAUGGCAGAAGUUAUGGUCACAGCACAAGGAAGACUGCCUCAGAUGCCGGGUGGCAGGGAACACACGUGGAACAUAGAAAGCUACAGAGUCUACCAGAUGGGACUCGCUUUAAUGGUCUGUUGAAGAAUGGGCGGCAGUCCUUUCCCUCCAGGAUCUGAACAAUCUGCUGUGCUCAGCGGCCUGCAUUUUGACAGCUAAGGAAGUGAGAGGCCAAGAUCUGAAUUACAUAUCGAGUGAAAAUCGCAUACCUGGCAAGAUGGCACUGAAAGUGCCUGCUGAGCUAUUUGAGUCAGCUGUCGGAAAACAGUGAUGUUGUUGGAAACAUGAGUGCUUGACUUUUAAUCGUAGCUAUCUGCACUGCUUUCAGCAAAAAUAAAGACUGCACCAGUAUCUCUCCCUUGGCCGGA